UGCCCUGCUGGCUGACCUGCACCAGCAGCUCGCCGGUUUCCCCCUUGCCGGCCGCCACCCGCGCCGCGCGCGGUUCGAUGCCGUGCACGAUGGC
rnacentral:tRNA from 1 species